rnacentral:rRNA from 1 species
GGUAGAAUUCCAGGUGUAGCGGUGAAAUGCGUAGAGAUCUGGAGGAAUACCGGUGGCGAAGGCGGCCCCCUGGACAAAGACUGACGCUCAGGUGCGAAAGCGUGGGGAGCAAACAGGAUUAGAUACCCUGGUAGUCCACGCCGUAAACGAUGUCUACUUGGAGGUUGUGCCCUUGAGGCGUGGCUUCCGGAGCUAACGCGUUAAGUAGACCGCCUGGGGAGUACGGCCGCAAGGUUAAAACUCAAAUGAAUUGACGGGGGCCCGCACAAGCGGUGGAGCAUGUGGUUUAAUUCGAUGCAACGCGAAGAACCUUACCUGGUCUUGACAUCCACAGAACUUUCCAGAGAUGGAUUGGUGCCUUCGGGAACUGUGAGACAGGUGCUGCAUGGCUGUCGUCAGCUCGUGUUGUGAAAUGUUGGGUUAAGUCCCGCAACGAGCGCAACCCUUAUCCU